AACACAAACUAACAAAGCAUUUCUUUGCAAAGAAGAAUUAAAAUGUCAACAUCUAAAUUUGCUUUCUUUUGUAUCGUUUUGGUUUUUCUUGCUACUUUUCAUGAAUAUGUCAAUCAAGCCGAUGCAGCAGCACCAACAUGCACUAGAGCACUAAAUUCUGACUGGUGCUGCAGCUUGAAACCAAAACGGUGCCUAGGUAGCAAAGUGGAAUGUGACGCAAUUUGUAAACCGAGACGCCGUCUUUGAAUUUUUCAAAAACAAAUUUCUACAUUAUAUAUUUCAGUUUUAUUCUAAUCUAAAUAAUACAUAGAAAGUUCUCUACGGAAACAACUAGUAUUGUCUGCUAAAAGACGUUGGUAUCUCGUGGAAGAGCUCAAGUUUUUUUCUUUUCUAUUUAUGACCUUUUACAAUUGGAUUCAAGAAAUUCAUAUAUGUUUCGGGAAAACAAGAAUAAAACAAUUAUUGAAUGUUUAUUUUUAUUUUAGUUUAAUGAUGUAAAGACUCAGAUGAUUGAAUAAAAUAAAAAUUAAUUUAAAAGUA